ACGAACGCUGGCGGCGUGCUUAACACAUGCAAGUCGAACGGAAAGGCCCUGCUUUUGUGGGGUGCUCGAGUGGCGAACGGGUGAGUAACACGUGAGUAACCUGCCCUUGACUUUGGGAUAACUUCAGGAAACUGGGGCUAAUACCGGAUAGGAGCUCCUGCUGCAUGGUGGGGGUUGGAAAGUUUCGGCGGUUGGGGAUGGACUCGCGGCUUAUCAGCUUGUUGGUGGGGUAGUGGCUUACCAAGGCUUUGACGGGUAGCCGGCCUGAGAGGGUGACCGGCCACAUUGGGACUGAGAUACGGCCCAGACUCCUACGGGAGGCAGCAGUGGGGAAUAUUGCACAAUGGGCGGAAGCCCGAUGCAGCAACGCCGCGUGCGGGAUGACGGGCUUCGGGUUGUAAACCGCUUUCGCCUGUGACGAAGCGUGAGUGACGGUAAUGGGUAAAGAAGCACCGGCUAACUACGUG
rnacentral:rRNA from 1 species